rnacentral:rRNA from 1 species
GACGAAGGGGGCUAGCGUUGUUCGGAAUUACUGGGCGUAAAGCGCACGUAGGCGGCUUUGUAAGUUAGAGGUGAAAGCCCGGGGCUCAACUCCGGAACUGCCUUUAAGACUGCAUCGCUUGAAUCCAGGAGAGGUGAGUGGAAUUCCGAGUGUAGAGGUGAAAUUCGUAGAUAUUCGGAAGAACACCAGUGGCGAAGGCGGCUCACUGGACUGGUAUUGACGCUGAGGUGCGAAAGCGUGGGGAGCAAACAGG